rnacentral:rRNA from 1 species
AGGACGAACGCUGGCGGCGUGCUUAACACAUGCAAGUCGAGCGACGCUCCUCCUUCGGGAGGAUGACGGAGCGGCGAACGGGUGAGUAACACGUGGGCAACCUGCCCCUAGCUCUGGGAUAACCCCGGGAAAUCGGGACUAAUACCGGAUAUGAAGUCGGACGGCAUCGUCUGACUUGGAAAGUUUUUCGGCUAGGGAUGGGCCCGCGGCCUAUCAGCUUGUUGGUGGGGUAAUGGCCUACCAAGGCGACGACGGGUAGCCGGCCUGAGAGGGCGACCGGCCACACUGGGACUGAGACACGGCCCAGACUCCUACGGGAGGCAGCAGUGGGGAAUAUUGCACAAUGGGCGAAAGCCUGAUGCAGCGACGCCGCGUGAGGGAUGACUGCCUUCGGGUUGUAAACCUCUUUCAGCAGGGACGAAGCGAAAGUGACGGUACCUGCAGAGAAGCACCGGCAACUACGUGCCAGCAGCCGCGGUAA